rnacentral:lncRNA from 1 species
AUUUUUCUUCACAGACAAAAAGAAAAACUCCACACCCUCCCACUUAGUUGCUUCUGCCAGUUGCCUCAGGAAGUCUGUGGCUGGCUGAAUGUAGAUCAGUGAGGUGAUAUGUCUGGAAUAAUCUCCAUCUGCCAGCUUCUGUAGCUUCAUGACCAGAUCUGUUCUGUGGAGACAGCUACACUAUGAACCUGAG